rnacentral:rRNA from 1 species
AGAGGUUGCUUCUGGCUCAGGACGAACGCUGGCGGCACGCUUAACACAUGCAAGUCGAACGGAGAACAUUGAGCUUGCUUAAUGUUCUUAGUGGCGGACGGGUGAGUAACACGUGAGUAACCUGCCUCUGAGAGUGGGAUAGCUUCUGGAAACGGAUGGUAAUACCGCAUAACAUCAUGGAUUCGCAUGUUUCUAUGAUCAAAGAUUUAUCGCUCAGAGAUGGACUCGCGUCUGAUUAGAUAGUUGGUGAGGUAACGGCCCACCAAGUCGACGAUCAGUAGCCGGACUGAGAGGUUGACCGGCCACAUUGGGACUGAGACACGGCCCAGACUCCUACGGGAGGCAGCAGUGGGGAAUAUUGCACAAUGGGGGGAACCCUGAUGCAGCGAUGCCGCGUGGAGGAAGAAGGUUUUCGGAUUGUAAACUCCUGUCGAAGAGGACGAUAAUGACGGUACUCUUCAAGAAAGCUCCGGCUAACUACGUGCCAGCAGCCGCGGUAAUACGUAGGGAGCGAGCGUUGUCCGGAAUUACUGGGUGUAAAGGGAGCGUAGGCGGGAUGGCAAGUCAGAUGUGAAAACUAUGGGCUCAACUCAUAGACUGCAUUUGAAACUGUUGUUCUUGAGUGAGGUAGAGGUAAGCGGAAUUCCUGGUGUAGCGGUGAAAUGCGUAGAGAUCAGGAGGAACAUCGGUGGCGAAGGCGGCUUACUGGGCCUUUACUGACGCUGAGGCUCGAAAGCGUGGGGAGCAAACAAAAUUAGAUACCCUGGUAGUCCACGCCGUAAACGA